ACAAAACACGUUCGUUCCACCGGUUCCUGACAGACACCAGAUUGAAGAGAGAGUGGAUUUCAAAAAUUAGAAGAGACAUCGGUACAUUUUUCCAGCAAUGAACCUGCUGGAGAGACAGAAGAUGCAAGUGUAGACCUGGCUGGAGUUGACACUGGUGCAGACCAAGUUGUUAAGCCAGCACCCCACUCUGACCAUGACUAUGCUGAACUCUCGGUCACUGGAAGAGCAGCUAGAAGCAGCACGGAAGGA